rnacentral:rRNA from 1 species
GAUGAACGCUGGCGGCGUGCCUAAUACAUGCCAGUCGAGCGAACAGACGAGGAGCUUGCUCCUCUGACGUUAGCGGCGGACGGGUGAGUAACACGUGGAUAACCUACCUAUAAGACUGGGAUAACUUCGGGAAACCGGAGCUAAUACCGGAUAAUAUAUUGAACCGCAUGGUUCAAUAGUGAAAGACGGUUUUGCUGUCACUUAUAGAUGGAUCCGCGCCGCAUUAGCUAGUUGGUAAGGUAACGGCUUACCAAGGCGACGAUGCGUAGCCGACCUGAGAGGGUGAUCGGCCACACUGGAACUGAGACACGGUCCCGACUCCUACGGGAGGCAGCAGUAGGGAAUCUUCCGCAAUGGGUGAAAGCCUGACGGAGCAACGCCGAGUGAGUGAUGAAGGUCUUCGGAUCGUAAAACUCUGUUAUUAGGGAAGAACAAAUGUGUAAGUAACUAUGCACGUCUUGACGGUACCUAAUCAGAAAGCCACGGCUAACUACGUG